rnacentral:rRNA from 1 species
GGGAAUAUUGCGCAAUGGAGGAAACUCUGACGCAGUGACGCCGCGUAUAGGAAGAAGGUUUUCGGAUUGUAAACUAUUGUCGAUAGGGAAGAAAAAAGACUGUACCUAUCAAGAAAGCUCCGGCUAACUACGCGCCAGCAGCCGCGGUAAUACGUAGGGAGCAAGCGUUAUCCGGAAUUAUUGGGUGUAAAGGGUGCGUAGACGGGAUGUCAAGUUAGUUGUGAAAUACCUCGGCUCAACUGAGGAACUGCAACUAAAACUAACAUUCUUGAGUGCAGGAGAGGAAAGUGGAAUUCCUAGUGUAGCGGUGAAAUGCGUAGAUAUUAGGAAGAACAUCGGUGGCGAAGGCGACUUUCUGGACUGUAACUGACGUUGAGGCACGAAAGUGUGGGGAGCAAAC